GAUGAACGCUAGCUACAGGCUUAACACAUGCAAGUCGAGGGGAAACGAUAUUGGAAGCUUGCUUCCGAUAGGCGUCGACCGGCGCACGGGUGAGUAACGCGUAUCCAACCUGCCCACCACUUGGGGAUAACCUUGCGAAAGUAAGACUAAUACCCAAUGAUAUCUCUAGAAGACAUCUGAAAGAGAUUAAAGAUUUAUCGGUGAUGGAUGGGGAUGCGUCUGAUUAGCUUGUUGGCGGGGUAACGGCCCACCAAGGCAACGAUCAGUAGGGGUUCUGAGAGGAAGGUCCCCCACAUUGGAACUGAGACACGGUCCAAACUCCUACGGGAGGCAGCAGUGAGGAAUAUUGGUCAAUGGGCGAGAGCCUGAACCAGCCAAGUAGCGUGCAGGACGACGGCCCUAUGGGUUGUAAACUGCUUUUAUACGGGAAUAAAGUGGGCCACGCGUGGUCUUUUGCAUGUACCGUAUGAAUAAGGACCGGCUAAUUCCGUG
rnacentral:rRNA from 1 species